GCUGGGCAUGGUGGUGCAUGCCUGUGGUCCCAGUUACUCAGGAGGCUGAGGCCGGAGGAUCGCUUGAGUCCAGGAGGUCAAGGCUGUAGUGAGCUAUGAUGGCACCACUGCACUCCAGCCUGGGUGACAGAGCGAGACCCUGUCUCAA
ensembl:misc_RNA Metazoa_SRP Metazoan signal recognition particle RNA